CGUCUAAGCUAAGUCUGAGUUACAAUAGCAAGCCAGCCUUGGGAAGAGCAGGUAGAAGAACAUCCAGGAUGGGAACAGCCAGGGCCAAGGCUGCGAGGCAAGAGAAGUUUGAUGCCUUGGUAACCUGGAAGGAAGGACUUUGUGACUGGGGUAGGGAGUGAGAGAGAGGAGAGCAGAUGAACACAGGUGCAGAGGCCAGAUCAGGUAACCUGGAAGGAAGGACUUUGUGACUGGGGGUAGGGAGUGAGAGAGAGGAGAGCAGAUGAACACAGGUGCAGAGGCCAGAUCAGGCUGGGAAGCCAUGGGGCCCGGGAGAGUGUGUGGCGCUAAGACAGGGAGCAACGUGAGCUGCUUAGGGUUUCCAAAGACCCUUCUGAGUGCUGAGUGGGGGACAGGUUGUAGGUGGGCAAGAGUAGGCACAGAAAGAGGGGGAAGCCAGAGACUGACUAGGUGACCACGUUCAGACAAGAGGUAGCAGGGAUUUUGUGUAGUGUGGUAGAAAUGGAGACACUGGUCAGAGUUGGGGGAUGUUUGAAGGUGGAGUCCUCUUUUCUAAGAACCAGCAUAUGCUUUUUAUCUUGUUGAUUGUCAUUUUGUAGUGUG
rnacentral:lncRNA from 1 species